rnacentral:tRNA from 1 species
GUAUGGAUGAUUCAAUAGUAGAAUUCUUGCUUUCCACAUGGGAGGCCUGGGUUCAAUUCCCAGUCCAUGCA